AUCCAGCUGACGAGUCCCGAAUAGGACGAAACGCGCUUCAAACUGUAU
rnacentral:hammerhead_ribozyme from 1 species